ensembl:lncRNA
AUGCAAAAAUGGAUCGUUUCUUCGCCACUUCCCUGGUGGGUAUUCCCAAAUUGCGAUUCGAAGAUGUGCAGAAGAUUGUGGAGACACACUCAGCAACACCACAGCCCAGGCUGACAAAGGGGUACAAGUUUUUUGUGGAGGAGUUUGUACACAAUUAUCAAGAGCUGUAGCUGUGCUGCGGGCAAAGGCUUCUGUAGCCAUAUAACCGCUCUGUUCCAGACAGCGCAUUAUGUGCAGCUGGGCCUUGAUGUGGUUCCACCUUCCCUGGCCUGUACCAGUCAACCACAGAUGUGGCAUCGACCUCGAACCCAUGUGUGCUGUUGUGUCCUCUGUUCAAAUCAUACACUUCAGUAUUUGUCUAGAGUAUAUGCAUUUCCUGUAUUGUUGUUCGCCUCAGGGAAUCCAUCCAGAGGCUGUGAGUGACCUGGUGGUGAAGAAACCCAAGUCGGUGGGGAAGACUGGAGUCAAGUCCACACUCUACAGAGCGUAUGCUGAGGGAAUAUCCAGCUUGAGUUGGUACCAUCUCAGCUGUGCUGACCUGGAAGAUGUCAGCAAUGACCUGUUCUUUAAGGCCAGUUGCUACUCUACAACAGUAGAUGAAAACUCAUCAAUGACUGGAAUCUUCCUUGAAGGGCGUGGUGUUGGAAUCGCCUCUUGUCCAAUCCUCUGUGCUUUGCUCC